rnacentral:lncRNA from 1 species
CAGCCCCAAAUUCUUCAUACCUCAUCAGAACCUCUGAGGCAAUGAGAAACAACCUUGUGACAGCCCCCAGAAGAGAGAGGGAGGUGGGUGGGUCUCACAGCAGCUCAUCACGAGCCUCUCCUGAGCUCAUGUUUAGGGAGGACUGUGAGACAUUCAUUGAAGACAUACAUGAGCUGCAGUCCAAGCCUUUGCCUGCAUGUCCCAUCCAGACACGUGCAAGGCCACCAGGGCACCAUAGUGGAGCCAUCUCUUACACCAUCCUUCUGAAGCAUCCAUCUCCUACGAUGGUCAAGUGAGAUAGACUACAGCAGGAUCUCUCACUCCAUUUUGAAGACUGACUUAUCUUGCUUGCCCAAAUUUCUUGUAGCUGCUUGAAAUCCACAGAGAAGUUUUCUUAUGGGCAGAUUUCAGUUACUAAGAUAGCUUAGGCCCACUCCAUCACACGUUACACUUGACUCCAAGAGGAUGCCCAAUGUAUUAAGAAAGUAAAGCACUUUCUGAGUGCUUUGGUGCAGAUUUUGCCGUACAAGGCUUUAGUUGGUGACCUCAGACUAGUGGUUAAGAACUUAGACUCUGCAGUUGGAUGGUUCUGCCACUUACUAGGAGGGUGAACUUGAGCCAGAUAUUUAACCUCUGUAAGUCUCCAUUCUCUAAUCCACAGAAUGAAGACAACAGCACAAGAAACUUGUAUGAAGCAGUGCAGGUAACGUGCUCAGAAUGGUGUCUGAAACAGGGUAAUACCCAAUAAACGUAGCCCUAUAUGUUAUUGGGAAUCUAUUGGCGCUGAGCUCUUUACUGAGCACAUGGCACUGGGGAGAAAGACAAGGGAAAAGAAACCCAAACAUUGUUAACUUACCAUAUAGUUGAAUGAACUGAACAUGGACAGUCAUAAAAUAGCCUACCGAUGAAUAUCAACCACGGUCUUUGCAAAGGAGAAAUCAGUAGUCAUAAAAUUCAUCCUUUGGUUGAACUAUGUUUGAUUACAGUUCUAAGUUGGCCCAGUGACUUGUGGAUAAAGGCAGAGAGCAGUGGGUCACUCCGUAAAGGCCACCACCAGAGUGCUGUCCAUAGAGUCUCUUUGUAUAAUGGUCUUGGCCAGGCAUUGCUCGCUUACCUCCAUUUUCCUUUCACAGUCCAGCCUGAGGAAUGCCUGCUCAACUGGUUUGAUCAUUUUGACUGAAACAAGCGGUCAUUUCAUGUCCUAUGGGAUGCUUGCUGAGGACAUUAAACACAGAAACAAGUAGAACAUGAAUUCAGAGUGAAGGAGAUGUUAAAGAGGAGAAAACAGAAUCUCAGAGAGUAACCUGCCUUAACCACAACAAUAAAGGAGACAAGUGGCAUGAAUCUAUUUACAAAGAGAAUCACCUCUGUGUCUGUGACCCGAGAGCCAUUCCCGUAGUGAUACAACUUGGACAUUUGUUCAGGAGGCAAGCGCUCACGCUGAGUGAUUUUCAAAGCUGUUCGAGGGCAUUUAUCAGGCUUUUAACUCUAGGGGACUUCCAGGAAAGAGACAGAGGGAGCGAGAGAAAAAAAGAGGAGGGCAGAACAGCUGCAGUGAAUUUAGUCGCCUCUCCAGUUGCUUUCCUUGUUGCAGAAUAUUUCACAUCCCAGGAUUUUCCUUCUUGUCCUCUGGACUGUUGAUACACCCAAGAUCUUAAUAUCCUUUCGAUCACAGGUUAAAGACAUGGGGUGGGGCCGGGGGUUGAGGGAGCAGAAAAUUGUAUUUUAAAGUUUUGUUCUAUUUGUUUUAUCAGCAAUUAAAACUUUUUGUGGUCCCUACCCUGGGCCAUGAGGCCACCCUGCUGUGAAUUCAAUCCAGCCUGACCAGCUAGGACAAUGAUCAUAUGAAUUAAUGGAUCUUGAUAGACCUCAGUUCCCCUCUUCUCGCCUCACUGAGCACAGCCCAGGCUUCAGUGGCUGCACGUGUGAGCAUCCACUCCCACACUCUACCCAAAUCACAUGCUGAAUUCAUUGCACAUGUGAGCCGUGCUGCACCUGUGGUCUGGAGAUACCAGAGUAAAUGUAGCUGUGCACCUCCUCUGGGUGUCAGAGGACCUGAGGUUGCUCCUCUGCCUCAAUGAGGGGAUCUUCCUUCUUCCCUCACAUCUCUCCUCCUCUUUGAAGUCGGUAGCAUGAUUUGGACCCAGCCUCUUGGGAGAGGUGAAAUACUCUUUCACUUUGGAACAGCUGAGGUUUGCUCAUGGAAUCGGAGGUGCUGAAGUCACAAGAUCGUGGUGUGGGUGACGCUGGCGUUUCUUAGUAAUGAGCCUUGCUGACACAUCCCAGGAGAGGAAGUUAGGUUAGGGCAAGGCAAGUGAAUGAAAUUGAUUAAAGGCUGCAACAGAUUAAAAAAAUUAAUGUACUUCAUUUAGGGUUAUGAUGUCUUCUUUCCUGGGUUAAUCCAUAGGCAAUGUGGGAUUAGGGCUCCUUAACCUACACCUGGAAGAUUUCACGUCAGAGGAAGGUAAGAUAGGGGAAUCUGUAGGGGCUGGUCUGUGAGCCAGCAUUGAGAGUUUAAAUUGAGCCCCAUAAGGAAAGCCUUCCUUAUCUCCCAUAACUAGGAAUUACGAUGGUGUCUGAGGAGGGGAGGCCUCUGGAUGCAGGGUUUACUGUAAAACUGAAGGACAGCAAGGCUGAUGCUCACAAGUGAGGGUGGAACAGGUAUGGUAAAAGUGCUUUGCAUUCAGCAGUCACUCAACAAUGACUGAAUUAAAGCUAUUUUGUGAUAAACUUUGUUUGAUAGGCUACUGCCCCAGAAUGUUUGCAAAUAUGCUCAUUUUUGAGGUUCACAGCUGUCCUCUCCUUCCUGAGGUUCUACUGAGGCAUCAUUUACCUCCUGGUAGAUGUGAGAUGUGGUGAUCACUAUAGGGUAGGCAGCUUGGAAGCAAGGAUUGGUGAGCAGUCUUUUGUUCUGAGUUACUACUGCAAUGUAGGCCAAAUUCCUCUAAUUUUUUUUAAAAGACAGAGUGUAGAUAUUGAUAUUCUCAUUUCCUUUGGAGCUAGAGUAACCCAGAGUAAUAAAACCCCUUGGGCAAGCAAAGCAAACACAACUCAAGACAAACCACUUGCACGAGAGGCUUCAAAUGGUGAUUUAGAUUUAGAAAGUUAAGUGAUGGGAUCUUGAAGACCACAUAUUCCUUGGGAAAGGCACAUGAUCUGGCCAGCCUGAAAUGCAUCAUCAGCCCCUUUGAGGAGGUCAGUGACCCAUGUUAAUGUAAGGUAUAAAAUUCCAGGUUGUGGAAUUCGGUGGUGCAACUCAUGAGGGUUCCUACAUUAUAGCAAUCUUUAAAUGGUUUGAUAAAGUUGAGAGAGAGAAACAAAACUGAAGAUUCUUUUUUCUCUCUGAGUAAUGAGACUCUUGGAUGAAAGGCUUUUUCUAUAUAUGGUUUUUAAUCUUCAUUUUCCACUUUCUGGUACCCAGAUCGGCGCAGGGGAGAUCUUUAACUUGGAUAGCAGUUUGUAUUUCUAAUUCAGCCCCAGAUUAGUCUCCUAUUGUGUAUAUGAGAUGUUGAACACAAAAGAAAACUGCCUGAGAGUGUGAGUUGUGGAGGUGGCUGGGCCAGAUGCUUGCCUGAGUGAUGAGCUGCAGAUAUCGGCUCAAGUGGAAUACUAAAAAGGGCUGGUACAUGACUCCAACAUCAUUGAAUUUCCUUUUUCUCCUGCCAGUGGACAUGACAACUGAGGAUAAGGUGGCUGGGAGACCAUGAGGGCAAAUGUGACACAAGGCAGGAGUCUUGCCCGAGCUUGUCAGCUGGUUCUUAUUUCCUCAUGCUGCAGGAGCCUUCUCUGGUAGGGCAGAAAGACAAUGAGAUCUCCAUGCGAUUUUAUGGAUCAGUUUUCACUUUUCCAGAUGCAAAGAGAGGAGCCAUAAUUACCUUGCAUAUGUUUUGAUAGCAUCCCUUGGGCAAGUGGAAGGGGUAACUCACAACAGAUAAACUCUGCUUUUGCUCCAGAAAUGUCUCCUGCAUCUGCAACAGGGGGGUGUUGAGUGAUGCUAUAGGCAGCUGGAAGGGCUCAUUUAUUUGACCUAAUUAUUCCCAGUGUAGACCUGACUCAUCAUAAUGGGCUCUUCUUCAAAGGAAAUGAGAGCCAGAUUGUCUCCUUGGCAGCAAUGGAAAACAAAUGCUAUCCACAGAAUGGCUGUUAGAUUAAAAAAAGGUGCAACUUGCCUUUGGGGCCAGCUGAUGUUUAAUGAUGUUACCAAGAAUAGAGGACUGGAAAGAGAGUAGUGUCAACUUCUGACAUUGUAGCUUUCUAAAAAUGUUCUUAAUAAAAUUAACUUACCAUUGGAUGCCAUGAACAAAAGUAACCACAUACUCAGAAUCCAAGGAAAAAUGGAAGCCUUGGGGUGUUUUUAUUAAUAAUCGAUGAAAUCUCUAUGGGUACAAUGGAGGACUUUUCACAUAGAGACCUUAUUAUUUCUUAAUCCUCUUGGAUGCUCUAUUGAAGGAUUAAAAUGAUCUUUUUUUCCUAAGGGAUGGAGAAAUGGAGAAAGAGAGUUGAAAUAACUCUCCUAUUACCAUCAAGCAAAUCAAACACAGAAUGGGACCAGCAUGCCACAUUCCCUCUGUGAAGCCUUGGAGUGCAACUGCAUUAGCUCAAUGGUGCAUUUCACAACGUCACAACUUCAUCUCAGAUCAUCACAAAUUGUCCAUAUUGAAACCUGGGUGCAAUGAGAAUAAUCACUUAAAUUUUCUCUGGUCCCACUUUUCUGCUUUACAGUGGUAGUUGAGAAUGUCAUACCCCUAAGGACAUGGGGAAGAUGUGUCCUUGACUGAUUGAUCCCUGUGACACAGUCUGACACUUUGCUUUUGUUCAGCAAUUCUCAAAGCACUGGAUUGCAAUGAUGCCCUGUUGACAGCACUGUUCAAAAGUCGACCUGUUGUUGCUGGAACCUCCAAGAAUACAGUGUUUGAUCUCAGCCAGGAUCCUGUCUUGGAAGAGGAGAGGGAAUCCCAAAAACUACUUGUGAAGAAGAUCCCAUUGUUCAAUCAAAUCCUCGUCACUGUAGCAAUCCAUGCAUGCCAUUGCAGUUGGCAUUCUGACACGUGUACACAGUGUUUUCAUCUCUUCCCUGGAGUUGCAGCCAAAGCCUGAGAUUCCUUUCGACACGACCCUGAAAAAACUCUGGGUUUGUGCUCCCCUCUGCUCUGCAAUAACAUACCAGCUCUGUGAUGUGGCCAAUGUUUACCUAGUUGGUGGGAGGACUUUUUAAUAUCAAAAGGAAAACAUUUCUUCUGCAUUCCACAUAGAAUCUGCCAAGGACAUUCCCAAAGAUCUACUUACUUAUUAGAGAAACCAAGAGAGUCCCAGCAGCACAGAGGGAUCGAGAAGACUGAGAACAGAACUGGAGGUGAGAAUAUGGCCACAGGAGACCCCAGGACUUAACAAAUGCACUGGUUUGACUUAUUUUCUGGAUAUUUUCUGGAUGUAUAUACUGCCUUUACUUCUCUUUAAAAUAGGGGCAGUGCUAGAGGUAUUGACGUUUCUUGAAAUGUUCACAAGUCCUUGACACAGACUUCAGGGACUUGCAGUGAUCUAUGUAGACUGGAUAUGCUUCAAGUGGAAGGUUGUUGACUUUAUUUUGGUCCCUAGGGUUAACAUCCCACCUUAUGGAUUAUUCAAGUUAAACUCUCAACAGCUGUUAGGGCUUUGUACUUCCACAGAGCUCAAUCUUUCAGUUGACUGCUCAUUGCUGAGCCCUGUACCAUGCACUCUGGGAGUAAUAUAGGAAGUCUCUUCCUUAGGCAUUGAUUUGCAAAGGCUGAGUAGGUGAGAGUAUGAAGGC